rnacentral:lncRNA from 1 species
CCAUCAAUCCACAAUCCCUAAAUUCACCUACCCGACCUACGUUUACCUGUCUAAGCUCGAUCUAUCGCAUUCAUUCUCAUCCUUAAUUGAACCAAAUGAAAACCGACCAAAAUUUAAGUACACAACUUUUAUCAACUUUUUAAUUCCACCCCAAAUUAUGAUUCAACCCCAAUUUGAGUCCAAGUUCUUUGAUUAUUCCAAUUCACAAAAAUCAAUCAAUCGAUAUCGACAAGCAACCACGAUGAUCCAAAACAUAUCAAAAUCAACAAAAUAAAAUCAACACACAAUGAUUUUAUCAUACCAAGUAUCACACAAUUCAAAAUUAAUUGAGAAUAAAAUUAAAAAUGAACCUUAAUGCCCCUUUUAUUCAAUCAAACGGAGGAGCUUCACGGAUUCGGAACCUCAACUUAACCGACAUUGAAAAAUAUCCUAUUUGGUGUCGAAUUUAACCCCGAAACAGGUUUGAAAACCAAUUGAAAGCUAAAUCACAAGCUAACUUGCGGACCUCGAUCAACAAAUCAAAUGAACCAAAGGAAAGCUUGAAAAGAGGUAUGGACUGACGGUACUGGUCGUCGAUUUUGGUGAUGAUGGAGAUCUGGCAGACUACAGAAUCACUAAAAUAGGUCUCUUUGGAUAUUUGCCGGAGAAACAAUCCAACCACCCAUCUCUGAUCUCUACUUUCUCUCUCUCCAUCUCCCUAUCUUUUCGCUCAACCUCUCCCUCUCUCUAUCGAACUUGUCCUGGUGUUGUGUUUGUGUGCUUGUUACCGUGAGGGUGAGUAUCAUCAAGAAGAAAAGGAUAAUAGAUUUUUCUUUUUUAGUUUUUUGUAUUGAUGAUGGAGUAGUCUGUGGAAUCUCAAUUGGAGAAGAUGGUGGAUGAUCUCCUUCUUUUUGUGUGAAUGAAUUUUUGGUAUGGUUUUUCUAUCUGAGAAUGUGAUUAUGAUGAUGAUAUGUGUAUAUAUGUAUUUAUCGCCACAUCCUCUUUCCCCAAUCCCAAGCCCAAGCCUAUGUCCAAGCUCCAUAUAUUCCUCCCCACCAUUACUACCCUCCGCAAAACCCACCAUAUGCCAUUCCACCCCCUUUGUACACAGUAUAUAGAAUGCAACCAUAUGCCCAAACCCCUUUUUACCCGCAAUGGUGCGCACAAGCUCCACAAAAUCGUCCAUCAGCUCCUCCAAAUUACCAAAACCCCUCUAGACUUGGUUUCCCACCCAGGCCUGAGUACAAGAAGGAAAAGGCGGUCAAAAAUCAGUUCACACCUCAUGGGGAGUCAUAUGCUAGUUUUUUUGAUAGGUUAAGAAAGAUGAAGGUCUUAAGCCCAAUUCAAGAAUGGCUUACAAAUCCGCCUUCGAGGAAUCUCGAUUAUUCUUUAAGGUGUAAGUACUGUUUUGACAUGCUAGGCCACGAUAUCGAGAAAUACUGGCAUUUAAAGAGAGUUAUCCAAGAUUUAAUUAAACCAAAUGAUCAAGUUUGAGCAUGACAGGCAAGAAGUGGUUAUUAUAGUGAAGGGGAUUUGUCUGCCUAUGAAGAUUAUCCUUAGUUCCUUAUUGAAGAAAACAAUGUAGAAGAGACAUUUUUCUAUCAAACUUUUGAUACAGUGCUAGUAGAUCGUAUCCUUGGAGGACAGGUUAUGCCACAAUUGUCUUCCACUUCUAUUAUGAUGGUGAGUGAGCUUUUGAAAUAAGGAUUUAUGCCAGGGAAGGGUUUGGGAAUGUCUCUGCAUGGUAUCGUUCGUCCCAUAUGUUCGAGAGAGAACAUGGGCACUUUUGGUCUGGGAUUUGAACCUACGGCUGAAGAUUUGAAGAAGGCCAAGGGUAGGAAAAAGGAAACAUGGUCACUCCCUCGCCCAAUGCCGCUACUCAGGGAAUCAUUUGUCAAGAGCGAUGUCAUGAAACCUAUAGAAUUUGAAGCUGAAUUAGUUGGUGACUUCCUGAACCUACUGAUUGAUGUUGACAUGGUUGAAACGGAAUAGGGUACCAACAAGGCGGAUGUGCUAUUCAUAGGUCCUGAGGUCUAGCUCAACAAUUGGGAAGUCACUCCUCUCCCCAUCAGGAGGAAGUUUUGGUAGUUCAUUUUGUUUUUAUUUCUAUUUAUCCGAGUCAUUCCGGGGUUGUAAUUCAGAAUCUAGCUUGUUUACAUUCUAUUGUCAUUUGUGUUUAAACCCUCAUAUCUUUUCCUUUUUAAUGAAAUGCAAUGUGCCCUUAUUUUGUGUCUAAUAUAUUUUGUUUUCGUCUUUUUCUUUAUACAGUUCUCUUUAUGCUGAUUCUAAUGACAUGACAUGCAUGCUGAAUUUUUAGCCUGAUCUUAAAAUACAAACUAAUCAAGAUAUAAGGAAGCAAGAGGUGGAAUAUUAUGAAGAAAAGGCACUAGAAGAAAUAAGCAAAGAGUUGGAACAGUUUAAAGGCAAACCAAAUCUCAAUUUGAAUGAAACUGAGCCAAUAAAUCUAGGGAAUCAAGAAGAUGUUAGGGAAACUAAAAUCAGUGUACAUGCUUUGCCGCAGCUAAAAGAUGGAAUGAUUCAAGCAUAUAUUGAUUAUAAGGAUGUUUUUGCAUGGUCUUAUGAUGAUAUGCCUGGUUUAAGCACUAAAUUAGUGUCUCAUAAAUUGCCAACUGAUUCUACAUUCCCCCUAUGAAACAGAAGUUGAGGAAGUUUAAAACUGAUGUAAGUAUCAAAAUCAAAGAAGAAAUCAUGAAACAACUUAAAGCCAAAGUAAUUCGAGUGGCUAGUUAUCCUACGUGGUUAUCCAAUGGUGUUCCUUUCCUAAAGAAAGAUGGAAAAAUUUGAGCAUGUGUUGAUUACCGUGAUUUGAACAGAGCAAGUCGGAAGGAUGAUUUUCCGUUACCCAAUAUUCAUAUUUUACUGGACAAUUGUGCUAAACACGAGGUUGCCUCUUUUAUGGAUUGUUAUGCUGGAUACCACCAGAUCAUUAUGGAUGAUGAAGAUGCGGAAAAGACGUCUUUUAUCACAACAUGGGGGACUUAUUUCUAUCGAGUGAUGCCGUUUGGCUUGAAGAAUGCUAGAGCAACAUACAUAAGAGCCAUGACCACUAUGUUUCAUGAUAUGAUGCAUAAGGAGAUUGAGGUCUAUGUAGAUGAUGUGAUUAUUAAGUCAAAAAGUCAGGAUGACCAUGUUAAAGAUUUAAGAAAGUUCUUUGAAAGGAUUCGCAGGUAUAAUCUCAAGUUCAACCCACAAAAUGUGUAUUUGGAGUUUCGUUUGGAAAUCUAUUGGGGUUUGUAGUCAGCCGCCAGGAAAUUGAAUUAGAUCCCUCAAAAAUCAAAGCCAUUCAGGAUUUGCCCCCGUCCAAGAAUAGGACAGAGGUAAUGAGUUUACUUGGUCAACUGAAUUACAUCAGAAGGUUUAUUGCUCAACUCACAACCGCUUGUGAGCCCAUAUUCAAGUUGCUGAAAAAGAGUGCUGUGGUAGAAUGGAAUGAAGAAUGUCAGGUUCAAUAGAAUCAAAAGAUACUUGUCAAAUCUACCUGUGCUGGUACCACUGGAGCCUGGUAGGCCUUUGAUCUUAUAUUUCUCAGGGACAAUUCUUUCGGUUGUGUCCUGGGUCAACAUGAUGUCACAGGCAAAAAGGAGCAGGCUAUUUAUUAUCUUAGCAAGAAGUUCACCGCAUAUGAGGCCAAGUAUACUCUUCUUGAAAGGACGUGUUGUGCCCUAACUUGGGUAGCACAGAAGUUGAAGCAUUAUCUUUCAUCCUACACUACUUAUCUCAUCUCCCACAUGGAUCCUUUGAAUUAUAUCUUUCAGAAGCCUAUGUCGACCGGUCGUUUGGCAAAGUGGCAAAUAUUGCUUACCGAGUUCGACAUUGUAUAUGUGACUCGAACCGCCAUGAAAUCCCAAGCCUUGGCAGAUCAUCUUGCUGAGAAUCCAAUUGAUGAAGAGUACGAGCCAUUAAAGACAUAUUUUCCUGAUAAAGAAGUGUUGUGUGUCGAUGAAGUCGUUAUAGAUGCUGAUCCAGGUUGGAAGUUAUUCUUUGAUAGAGCUGUCACACCCCUUUUUGACUCCAAAAUAUUUCAAUUUAAGUUCGAAAGGGUUUUUAUUAUUAAAGUGUCAAAAUGAAAGUUUUUUUCGAAAAAGGACUUUUUAUAUUCAAAACUCAGAGUCGCCACUUGGCAUAAAUCAGUUGUGCCAAGUCACCGUUGGAUAUCCUUUUCAAAACGUUAUGAAUCUUUAAACUGGUUUGCGAACAAAGAUUCUAGCUAAGGAAUUCUGUUGACCGAGGGGAAUGUGUUAGGCACCCCUUGGUCCUGUGGUUUGAGCACGGUCGCUUGGUGGAGAGUAUCGGCUAAUUUGAACACUAUGAUACGUAUAAACCAAACAAACAUUCAAAACAAACAAUCACACCAAACCAAAACAAGUCCGAAAAAUAAUGUUCAGUCCGAGUUAUAUAGUCCAAAAAAUAGAAAAAUACAGAAAUAUAAAAUCCUAUUCUAAACUAAUCCUAGACUAAACUCCAAUACCUCAGGCCUUCAUCACGAACAUCCUCCGAGUACAAAAUACCUCAAGGCAUUCCCCGGAUAAAAAUAAUACAAGUACUUCAGGGCAUUCCCCGGUCAAAUGAUACAAGUGAUCCCAAAGUAUAUAGCCAAAAGCCAUUCAAUCUCAAAAAUCAAAUAUUCUAUCAAUCCACAAUCCCUAAAUUCACCUACCCGACCUACGUUUACCUAUCUAAGCUCGAUUUAUCGCAUUCAUGCUUACCCUUAAUUGAACCAAAUGACAAUCGACCAAAAUUUAACUACACAACUUUUAUCAACUUCUUAAUUCCGCCCCAAAUUAUGAUUCAACCCCAAUUUGAGCCAAUUUCUUUGAAUAUUCCAAUUCACAACAAUCAAUCAAUCGAUAUCGACAGGCAACCACGAUGAUACAUAAAAUAUCGAAAUCAACAAAAUAAAAUCAACACAAAAUGAUUUUAUCAUACCAAGUAUCACACAAUUCAAAAUUAAUUGAGAAUAAAAUAAAAAAUGAAACUUAAUGCCACUUUUAUUCAAUCAAACGGAGGAGCUUCGCGGAUUCGGAACCUCGACUUAACCGACUUUGAACAAAAUCUUAUUUGGUGUUGAAUUUAACCCCGAAACAGGUUUGAAAACCAAUCGAAAUCUAAAUCACAAGCUAACUCGCGGACCUCGAUCAACAAAUCAAACGAACCAAAGGAAAGCUUGAACGGAGGUGUGGACUGACACUAAUGGUCGUCAAUUUUGGUGAUGACGGAGCUUCAGUGGACUACAUAAUCACUGAAAUGGGUCUCUCCGGAUAUUCCCCAGAGAAACAAUCCAAUCACCCAUCUCUGAUCUCUACUUUCUCUCUCUCCAGCUCCCUCUCUUUUCGCUCAACCUCUCCCUCUAUCGAUCGGACUUGUCCUGGUGUUGUAUGUGUGUGCUUGUUACCGUGAGGGUGAGUAUCAUUAAGAAGAAAAGGAUAAUGGAGUUUUCUUUUUCAGUUUUGUGUAUUGUGAUGGAGUGGUCUGUGGAAUCUCAAUUGGAGAAGUUGGUGGAUGAUCUCAUUUUCCUUUUUUUUUUUUUUGUGAAUGAAUUUUUGGUAUGGUUUUUCUAUCCGAGAAUGUGAUUAUGAUGAUGAUGUGUGUAUAUAUGUAUUUCAUCGCCUUAAAACAAAAUGGUUCCUUUUGGGCUUUCCUUGAAGUUUCCUAGUGGGGUCCUUUCUAAUGUUUAUCCCUUUUUGCCUUUGUAGACAAGAAAUAUGAGAGGG